GAGUUUGAUCCUGGCUCACGACGAACGCUGGCGGCGUGCCUAAUACAUGCAAGUAGAACGCUGACUACUUUAGCUUGCUAGAGUAGAAGGAGUUGCGAACGGGUGAGUAACGCGUAGGUAACCUGCCUACUAGCGGGGGAUAACUAUUGGAAACGAUAGCUAAUACCGCAUAACAGUGUUUAACACAUGUUAGAUGCUUGAAAGAUGCAAUUGCAUCACUAGUAGAUGGACCUGCGUUGUAUUAGCUAGUUGGUGGGGUAACGGCCCACCAAGGCGACGAUACAUAGCCGACCUGAGAGGGUGAUCGGCCACACUGGGACUGAGACACGGCCCAGACUCCUACGGGAGGCAGCAGUAGGGAAUCUUCGGCAAUGGGGGCAACCCUGACCGAGCAACGCCGCGUGAGUGAAGAAGGUUUUCGGAUCGUAAAGCUCUGUUGUAAGAGAAGAACGUGUGUGAGAGUGGAAAGUUCACACAGUGACGGUAACUUACCAGAAAGGGACGGCUAACUACGUGCCAGCAGCCGCGGUAAUACGUAGGUCCCGAGCGUUGUCCGGAUUUAUUGGGCGUAAAGCGAGCGCAGGCGGUUUAAUAAGUCUGAAGUUAAAGGCAGUGGCUUAACCAUUGUUCGCUUUGGAAACUGUUAAACUUGAGUGCAGAAGGGGAGAGUGGAAUUCCAUGUGUAGCGGUGAAAUGCGUAGA
rnacentral:rRNA from 1 species